rnacentral:rRNA from 1 species
CCUACGGGAGGCAGCAGUGAGGAAUAUUGGUCAAUGGACGAGAGUCUGAACCAGCCAAGUCGCGUGAAGGAUGACUGCCCUAUGGGUUGUAAACUUCUUUUAUAUGGGAAUAAAAUGUUCCACGUGUGGGAUUUUGUAUGUACCAUAUGAAUAAGGAUCGGCUAACUCCGUGCCAGCAGCCGCGGUAAAACGGAGGAUCCGAGCGUUAUCCGGAUUUAUUGGGUUUAAAGGGAGCGUAGGUGGGUGGUUAAGUCCGUUGUGAAAGGUUGCGGCUCAACCGUAAAAUUGCAGUUGAAACUGGCAGGCUGGAGUACAGUAGAGGUGGGCGGAAUUCGUGGUGUAGCGGUGAAAUGCUUAGAUAUCACGAAGAACUCCGAUUGCGAAGGCAGCUCACUGGACUGCAACUGACACUGAGGCUCGAAAGUGUGGGUAUCAAACAGGAUUAGAUACCCCUGUAGUC